GUAGGUGAACCUGCGGAAGGAUCAUUAACACGUAUCCACGUAUCAUAUUAUCCACACCAAACUCUGUGAACUAUGUUUAUCACAUAUGUAAGAGACAGACUGUUUGUUAAUAGCAUUCAGUCAGUUAAUUAGAUAUGUCAUUUUUCAACCUUUUUUUAUAUACCCCUCUUGACUCCCUAACAGCCCCAAUGGACUAAUUUUAUGAUUGUCAAAUAUAUAUAUAUAUUUUAUGCAUGUAUAGUAUUUUAUUAUAUCAUGUAUGAUGUAUAUAUGUGUUUUAUCAAUCGAACCAUAUGGAUUUCAUUUCCAAAUGAGUUGAAGCACAACUCUUAGCAAUGGAUAUCUUGGUUCUC
rnacentral:misc_RNA from 1 species